CCCUUAGAUGUCCGGGGCCGCACGCGCGCUACACUGAAGGAAUCAGCGUGGCUUUCUCCCUGACCCGAAAGGGUUGGGAAACCCGUUGAAUCUCCUUCGUGAUAGGGAUUGGGGCUUGAAAUUGUUCCCCAUGAACGAGGAAUUCCCAGCAAGCGCGAGUCAUAAGCUCGCGUUGAUUACGUCCCUGCCCUUUGUACACACCGCCCGUCGCUACUACCGAUUGAACGGUUUAGUGAGGGCCUCGGAUUGGUCUCGGCCCGCUCUUUACCGGGCGGCGCCGUUGGUCGAGAAGACGCUCGAACUUGAUCGUUUAGAGGAAGUAAAAGUCGUAACA
rnacentral:rRNA from 1 species